rnacentral:rRNA from 1 species
CAAUAGCGUAUAUUUAAGUUGCUGCAGUUAAAAAGCUCGUAGUUGGAUUUCGGGUGGGAAUGGCCGGUCCGCCGUUUCGGUGUGCACUUGCUACGCCCACCUUGCUGCCGGGGACGUGCUCUUGAGUUCACGCUCGGGACACGGAGUCGGCGAGGUUACUUUGAGUAAAUUAGAGUGUUCAAAGCAGGCCUACGCUCUGAAUACAUUAGCAUGGAAUAACACGAUAGGACUCUGGCCUAUCUUGUUGGUCUGUAGGACCGGAGUAAUGAUUAAGAGGGACAGUCGGGGGCAUUCGUAUUUCAUUGUCAGAGGUGAAAUACUUGGAUUUAUGAAAGACGAACUACUGCGAAAGCAUUUGCCAAGGAUGUUUUCAUUAA